rfam:Zootermopsis nevadensis contig20578, whole genome shotgun sequence.
GCCACGGUGGUCUAGCGGUUAGAACGCUGACCUUGUAAUUCUGGGGUCUCGGGUUCGAUUCCCGGCGGUGCCU